CGCCUGUUUAUCAAAAACAUGGUUUUUUGGAAUAAUAAAAAAUCUGGUCUGCUCAAUGCUUAAGUAAAUAGCCGCAGUAUUAUGACUGUGCUAAGGUAGCAUAAUCAUUUGUCUUUUAAAUGGAGUCUAGAAUGAAAGAUUGGACGGAAAGAAGUCUGUCUCUUUAUUAAAAAAUGAAUUUUAUUAUUUAGUAAAAAGGCUAAUAUAGAUUUGAGGGACGAUAAGACCCUAUUAAACUUAAUUUAAUAAUUUUGCUGGGGUGGUAGGGUAAGAUUAAAAUCUUACUUUAAAAGUUUUAUUAUUUUGACCCAAUAUUAUUGAGGAAUAGAUAAAGUUACUAUAGGGAUAACAGCUUAAUUUUUUCUUGAAGUUCUUAUUUUAGAAAAAGUUUGAGACCUCGAUGUUGAAUUAAAGUGUCUUUUUAGUGUAGAAGCUAAAUAAGGAAGUCUGUUCGACUUUUAAACCUUUACGUGAUCUGAGUUCAGACCGG
rnacentral:rRNA from 1 species